rnacentral:rRNA from 1 species
CGGGACACGUGGUAUCCUGUCUGAAUAUGGGGGGACCAUCCUCCAAGGCUAAAUACUCCUGACUGACCGAUAGUGAACCAGUACCGUGAGGGAAAGGCGAAAAGAACCCCGGCGAGGGGAGUGAAAAAGAACCUGAAACCGUGUACGUACAAGCAGUGGGAGCCUCUUUAUGGGGUGACUGCGUACCUUUUGUAUAAUGGGUCAGCGACUUAUAUUCUGUAGCAAGGUUAACCGAAUAGGGGAGCCGAAGGGAAACCGAGUCUUAACUGGGCGUUAAGUUGCAGGGUAUAGACCCGAAACCCGGUGAUCUAGCCAUGGGCAGGUUGAAGGUUGGGUAACACUAACUGGAGGACCGAACCGACUAAUGUUGAAAAAUUAGCGGAUGACUUGUGGCUGGGGGUGAAAGGCCAAUCAAACCGGGAGAUAGCUGGUUCUCCCCGAAAGCUAUUUAGGUAGCGCCUCGUGAAUUCAUCUCCGGGGGUAGAGCACUGUUUCGGCAAGGGGGUCAUCCCGACUUACCAACCCGAUGCAAACUGCGAAUACCGGAGAAUGUUAUCACGGGAGACACACGGCGGGUGCUAACGUCCGUCGUGAAGAGGGAAACAACCCAGACCGCCAGCUAAGGUCCCAAAGUCAUGGUUAAGUGGGAAACGAUGUGGGAAGGCCCAGACAGCCAGGAUGUUGGCUUAGAAGCAGCCAUCAUUUAAAGAAAGCGUAAUAGCUCACUGGUCGAGUCGGCCUGCGCGGAAGAUGUAACGGGGCUAAACCAUGCACCGAAGCUGCGGCAGCGACGCUUAUGCGUUGUUGGGUAGGGGAGCGUUCUGUAAGCCUGUGAAGGUGUACUGUGAGGUAUGCUGGAGGUAUCAGAAGUGCGAAUGCUGACAUAAGUAACGAUAAAGCGGGUGAAAAGCCCGCUCGCCGGAAGACCAAGGGUUCCUGUCCAACGUUAAUCGGGGCAGGGUGAGUCGACCCCUAAGGCGAGGCCGAAAGGCGUAGUCGAUGGGAAACAGGUUAAUAUUCCUGUACUUGGUGUUACUGCGAAGGGGGGACGGAGAAGGCUAUGUUGGCCGGGCGACGGUUGUCCCGGUUUAAGCGUGUAGGCUGGUUUUCCAGGCAAAUCCGGAAAAUCAAGGCUGAGGCGUGAUGACGAGGCACUACGGUGCUGAAGCAACAAAUGCCCUGCUUCCAGGAAAAGCCUCUAAGCAUCAGGUAACAUCAAAUCGUACCCCAAACCGACACAGGUGGUCAGGUAGAGAAUACCAAGGCGCUUGAGAGAACUCGGGUGAAGGAACUAGGCAAAAUGGUGCCGUAACUUCGGGAGAAGGCACGCUGAUAUGUAGGUGAAGCGACUUGCUCGUGGAGCUGAAAUCAGUCGAAGAUACCAGCUGGCUGCAACUGUUUAUUAAAAACACAGCACUGUGCAAACACGAAAGUGGACGUAUACGGUGUGACGCCUGCCCGGUGCCGGAAGGUUAAUUGAUGGGGUUAGCGGUAACGCGAAGCUCUUGAUCGAAGCCCCGGUAAACGGCGGCCGUAACUAUAACGGUCCUAAGGUAGCGAAAUUCCUUGUCGGGUAAGUUCCGACCUGCACGAAUGGCGUAAUGAUGGCCAGGCUGUCUCCACCCGAGACUCAGUGAAAUUGAACUCGCUGUGAAGAUGCAGUGUACCCGCGGCAAGACGGAAAGACCCCGUGAACCUUUACUAUAGCUUGACACUGAACAUUGAGCCUUGAUGUGUAGGAUAGGUGGGAGGCUUUGAAGUGUGGACGCCAGUCUGCAUGGAGCCGACCUUGAAAUACCACCCUUUAAUGUUUGAUGUUCUAACGUUGGCCCCUGAUCGGGGUUGCGGACAGUGUCUGGUGGGUAGUUUGACUGGGGCGGUCUCCUCCUAAAGAGUAACGGAGGAGCACGAAGGUUGGCUAAUCCUGGUCGGACAUCAGGAGGUUAGUGCAAUGGCAUAAGCCAGCUUGACUGCGAGCGUGACGGCGCGAGCAGGUGCGAAAGCAGGUCAUAGUGAUCCGGUGGUUCUGAAUGGAAGGGCCAUCGCUCAACGGAUAAAAGGUACUCCGGGGAUAACAGGCUGAUACCGCCCAAGAGUUCAUAUCGACGGCGGUGUUUGGCACCUCGAUGUCGGCUCAUCACAUCCUGGGGCUGAAGUAGGUCCCAAGGGUAUGGCUGUUCGCCAUUUAAAGUGGUACGCGAGCUGGGUUUAGAACGUCGUGAGACAGUUCGGUCCCUAUCUGCCGUGGGCGCUGGAGAACUGAGGGGGGCUGCUCCUAGUACGAGAGGACCGGAGUGGACGCAUCACUGGUGUUCGGGUUGUCAUGCCAAUGGCACUGCCCGGUAGCUAAAUGCGGAAGAGAUAAGUGCUGAAAGCAUCUAAGCACGAAACUUGCCCCGAGAUGAGUUCUCCCUGAGACUUUAAGUCUCCUGAAGGAACGUUGAAGACGACGACGUUGAUAGGCCGGGUGUGUAAGCGCAGCGAUGCGUUGAGCUAACCGGUACUAAUG